UGGUUAAAAACCCCUCCCACCAGUGCAAGUCUCUCAAUACCCUUUAUCCUUCUAAGCUCCAAAAACACACAGAAUCACUACGAUUUAGUUUACUGCCAUGGAGAAAUCGGUGCAUUUUACAGGCAGGAACAGACCAGCUACAUGCCACCUUGCUGUUUAUAAAACCAAGGCCUGCAGUAUACAAGCCUGCCAACACGUAACCGAGGCCUUGCCGCUCCAGGGACAGAAACCACCUCUCGCCGACCCCUGCGGGGCAAUUAGGCUCAGGGCAGAUACUGCCUGACCUGCUGAGUGUUUCCAGCGUCUUCAGUUUUUUUGUGGACUCCCAGCAGCCUCAGUUAUUUCCUUUGUGCUUAUUUUUCUUUGCACAAAAGAGACCAAAAAGCUCCAGUUAGCUUGUCCAGAGGUUGGAGGCCCAAAGUCCGGAGUCUGUGAGACCGGGAGUCCAGGCCAGGGCCAGGAGGUUGGACGCCUGGAGUCUGCGAGUCUGAGAUUCAACGAACGGAGAUACUGCUUGACCUACUGAGUGUCUCCCGCACUUUCUGUAUUCUUCAGGAAGCAAUGCCAGCAUUGUCAGAGCUGGACAAGUCAUGAAGGGAUAUUAUGUGCAAUCGGGAGUCAUUUUGGGCACCCUAUCUGAGGCAAAGUGUGCUGACCCUGGAGAAGGCCCAGAGGAGGCUCACAAAUAUGAUCCCAGGGUUUGGACCUGAAACGUUGACAGUUCCUUUCCUCCUCCUUCUCAACGGACGUUGCUCCACCCGCCAAACUCUCCCAGCAGAGUUUGUGUGGCUCCAGAUUCGACCAUCUGCACUCUCUUACAUCUCCAUACCCUGGGACCUGGUCUGAAACAUUGACGAUUUAUCUCUCUCCACGGAUGCUACAGACUUGCUGAGAUUCUCCACUAUUUUGUGUGUGAUACCCUCCUCAUAACUGCCAGCAGAUGGGAGGUACAGGAGUCCAAAGACCCCUACUUAACAGUUUAGUACCAGCUUCUCACCCUUCACAAUCAAAUUUCUGAGCAGCCCCUGAUCUCACUAAUUUGCUAUUCCUCUUCUACACUAUUCAUUUGUAUUAUCUUUUAAUGUAAUAUUUUUGUAUUACACCCUACUGCUGCCAUAAAGCCAGCAAAUUUCAUGACAUAGGGUAUGCCAGUGUCAAUGAACCUGAUGCUAAUUCUGGUUCUAACAGGGUUCCUGAGAACGGCUGGGAUCUGAAUACUUGGUCACUGGAGGGGAGCACUGGUGGUGGGAGAGGAUCACCGGUUUCCUGAGAACGGCUGGGAUCUGAAUACUUGGUCACUGGAGGGGAGCACUGGUGGUGGGAGAGGAUCACCGGUUUCCUGAGAACGGCUGGGAUCUGAAUACUUGGUCACUGGAGGGGAGCACUGGUGGUGGGAGAGGAUCACGGGGUUCCUGAGAAUGACUGGGAUCUGAAUACUUGGUCACUGGAGGGGAGCACUGGUGGUGGGAGAGGAUCACGGGGUUCCUGAGAAUGACUGGGAUCUGAAUACUUGGUCACUGGAGGGGAGCACUGGUGGUGGGAGAGGAUCACCGGUUUCCUGAGAAUGACUGGGAUCUGAAUACUUGGUCACUGGAGGGGAGCACUGGUGGUGGGAGAGGAUCACGGGGACAGCAGUGAGGGGAGAAGGAGUAGCCGCUAGCUGACCUGACCGACUCUGUGCAUGAGCGAGCGAUUCUGCUCAGCACUCCGGCUCUGUCCAGCUCGGUUCACACUCUGAUUGUUCCAUCCUGUAUGUACAUAUGGGAUCCAUGCCCAGAGAAAGCUCGGAAUGAGCAUCUGUGAUUAUCACAGAUGGGUACUCGAUAGCUGGUGGGCCGAAUGGCCUUUUUCUGUGCUGAAUGACCCUGUUACUCUCUGAACAGAGAAUGCUGGGAAUAGCAGGUUGACGGUCCUGGAAUCACAGAAUAGCUAUGGUAGGUAAGGCCAUUCAGCCUGUUGGGUCAAUAUGGGCUCUGUAUAAGACCAAUGGCUCCUCUCCCCAGACUCCUGCAAAUCCUUUUCUCUCAUCACGACUCCAGCUCAGUUUCUGAACACUCGCUGUGAUCCAGCCUCCGCCACUACCCAGACCUCCCUGUCUCACCUCUGAUUCUAUUUCCAAUCUCUGUUGCUCUCUGUCCCUGGUCGGUGACCUUAUCACGAGUGGGACUAAUUAUUUGCUCCCUGUAUACUCUGCCCGAUUUUAAAUACCUCAAUUGCAACCUCCAAACAUCCCCCAUUCUGAGGAGAACCACUACUUCCCCAGUCUAUCGUCUCUGGAUUCAUUUUGGUAAAACUCUCUGCCCUUCUCCAAGGUCUUCACGUCUUGAAGAAAUAUGGUUAGCAUAGAUGGGUACUGAAUGGUUGGUAUGGACAUGAUGGGCCUAAUAGCCUGUCUCUGUGUUGUAUGGCUCCAUGACUUUAUAAACAGGGAAUGGGAAGUGACAUGAUAAAGGUUUAUAAGAUGAUUAAGAGGCAUAGAUAGAGUGGACAGCCUGCACCUUUUGCCCAGGCAAAAAUGUCCAAUAUGAAAGGGCAUAAUUUCAAGGUGGUUAGAGGAAAGUAUAGGGGAUGUCAGAAGAAGAUUUUUUACAGAAGACAUGGAACGUGCUGCCAAGGAAGAUAGUGGAGGCAAAUACAUCAGGGAGAUUAAUGAAACUCCUAGGCACAUGGAUGAAAGAAACAUGGAGGUUUAUGUGGGAGGUAAGGGUUAGAUUGAUCUUGGAGUUGGUUAAGAGAUCGGCCCAACGUUGUGGGCCAAAGGGCCUGUACUGUGUUGUAAUGUUCUAUCUUCCCAAAAGAGAAAAUGUUUCAGGGAGACGACCUGUACCACACUAGUAUGAUAUCCUUACAUUUAGAGCUUGGCAUCAGUUAUACGAAAGGCCCUUUCCAACUGAUCGUCUUUGGUCUGCCUUCGUCUUGGGGCGAUAUUAAAAGAUGAUGGGUGGAGGGAGCCUGAUCAUCGGACAGCCUGUCCUUCCCAUUGUUUCCAGUUAGAUGUGGACAAAUGGUGAAAGUCCCUCGCUGAUGUUGCACCACCAAUCACUCACUGGCGAAAGGGCUUCGUCACUGUGACACAGGGAGCAGAACUUCUUCUGAUCCUGAUGUAGAGAGGAGCUGACUGCUGACUUUGGAAUGCAGGAUUAAUGAGAGGUUGAGCAAGGACCUAGGAAGGGAUGGACCUCUGGCCCAGACAGGAACUUGGGUUGGCAGGAGGUGGGACUGAGAAGCAGUGGAGAACCCAAAGCAGACCCCUAACCUGUGUUAGACAUUCUUUUCCAGAUCAAUACUACCAAGCUGAGCUACUUAAAAUAAUCUGUGUGUAAAGGGGGUUUCUUUUUUUUUCUUUGUUACUGUUGGGAAAGGGUUUCCUUUUGUUAACUAGCAGGAAUGCUAAUUUACUGAUAACGAGAAUGGUAUUCCUUUGUAAACCAAAUGGGGAUUAAUGUUCUUUCUUCUGAGUCUGUAAGUUUUUGUUGACGGGCUUUUGGGCAGAUCAGCGCGAGGGGGUCGAGAGAGAGGACGCAAUGCUCUAAGCUGGGCGAGGAUCGGACCCCAAAGGGGGGUCCGAGGCUGGGAGAUUCUCCAAGGGGGGGGGAUUGAAGCUAGAUGUGCUUGGUUGACCACUCGGAGGGUCCUGAGCUGUUUGGAGAGUCGAGGAGUUCGGAGGGUCCUGAGCUGCGAGUCGAGGAGUUCGGAGGGGAUCGAAUGGUGGCCAGAAGACUUCAGUAAUUGAGCUCCAACGGUUGUGCACGAAGUGGUUUGGACUUUGAUAAGUUUGGCGCCUUUUCUUUAAUUUUCUCUUCAUAUAUACUGUAUCGUUAUUAAUCACUUAGUUAUAGUAACCUUUAUAAAUUGUACUCAUUUAAUCGCAUAUGGUGUACUGUCUGUUUUUGGGCGAGGCGGGGACAUCACACAGCAUCCACACCAGCUGAUUACCCAGUUUGGCGGGGCCGAAGGCUGCUCCCCCUAGACAAGAACGAGCUGAGCGAGCCUGAGGCGACCCAGGGAGUUACAUGUGCAACACAUACAAAAUGCCGAAGGAACUCAGCAGGCCAGGCAGCAUCUAAGAAAAGAGGUCAGUCGACGUCUUGGGCCGAGACCCUUCAGUAAGACCUACAGUCGAUGCUUGGGGCCAAAACCCUUCAGCAGGACAGAAUACAGUUGACUGUACUCAUUUUGUGUGUGUUGCUCAAAUUUCCAGCAUCUGCAGAAUUUCUCCUGUUUAAAAUAAUCUGUCCUUAACUGAUUUGAUAAUGGUAUUUAGUUUAUUAUUGUCAUUAGCCAUAUGUCUGCUGUAGCAGAUGACC